rnacentral:rRNA from 1 species
CGGCCGUAACUAUAACGGUCCUAAGGUAGCGAAAUUCCUUGUCGGGUAAGUUCCGACCUGCACGAAUGGCGUAAUGAUGGCCACGCUGUCUCCACCCGAGACUCAGUGAAAUUGAAAUCGCUGUGAAGAUGCAGUGUACCCGCGGCUAGACGGAAAGACCCCGUGAACCUUUACUACAGCUUGGCACUGAACAUUGACCCUACAUGUGUAGGAUAGGUGGGAGGCUUUGAAGACGGUACGCCAGUAUCGUUGGAGCCGUCCUUGAAAUACCACCCUUGUAGUGUUGAUGUUCUAACGUYGACCCCUUAUCGGGGUUGCGGACAGUGCCUGGUGGGUAGUUUGACUGGGGCGGUCUCCUCCCAAAGAGUAACGGAGGAGCACGAAGGUGGGCUAAUCACGGUUGGACAUCGUGAGGUUAGUGCAAUGGCAUAAGCCCGCUUGACUGCGAGAAUGACAAUUCGAGCAGGUGCGAAAGCAGGUCAUAGUGAUCCGGUGGUUCUGAAUGGAAGGGCCAUCGCUCAACGGAUAAAAGG